rnacentral:rRNA from 1 species
UACAGAGACUGCAAGCGUUAUUCGGAUUCACUGGGCGUAAAGGGUGCGCAGGCGGUCGGGUGUGUCAGAUGUGAAAUCCCGAGGCUCAACCUCGGAACUGCGUCUGAAACUACUCGACUAGAGUACUGGAGAGGGUAACGGAAUUCACGGUGUAGCAGUGAAAUGCGUAGAUAUCGUGAGGAACACCAGAGGCGAAGGCGGUUACCUGGACAGUUACUGACGCUCAGGCACGAAAGCAUGGGGAGCGAACGGG